UCUGAAAAGACCCAACCAACUACAAACAUGUUUCUUCUACAGUGUUUUUCCUGGAAAAAGAAGACAACAGACAAAACUGUUGUGGCAGAUGAGAAGAAGCUUAAAAACUCUCAGAAAUGCCAAACCAAGUCAGACACCCAACAUCCAAAGGCCAAGAAGAAGAC